AGAAUGGUGUUUUUCAACACCACCCCACAAAAUUUUUGAAAGAUGA
rfam:Picea glauca, whole genome shotgun sequence.